CUAGAGACCGGCGCACGGGUGCGUAACGCGUAUGCAAUCUACCUUUCACAAAGGGAUAGCCCAGAGAAAUUUGGAUUAAUACCUUAUAGUAUAGCGACUUCGCAUGGAGAUGCUAUUAAAGAUUUAUCGGUGAAAGAUGAGCAUGCGUCCCAUUAGCUAGUUGGUAAGGUAACGGCUUACCAAGGCUACGAUGGGUAGGGGUCCUGAGAGGGAGAUCCCCCACACUGGUACUGAGACACGGACCAGACUCCUACGGGAGGCAGCAGUGAGGAAUAUUGGUCAAUGGGCGCAAGCCUGAACCAGCCAUGCCGCGUGCAGGAUGACGGUCCUAUGGAUUGUAAACUGCUUUUGUACAGGAAGAAACACUCCCUCGUGAGGGAGCUUGACGGUACUGUAAGAAUAAGGAUCGGCUAACUCCGUGCCAGCAGCCGCGGUAAUACGGAGGAUCCAAGCGUUAUCCGGAAUCAUUGGGUUUAAAGGGUCCGUAGGCGGCUUAAUAAGUCAGUGGUGAAAG
rnacentral:rRNA from 1 species